rnacentral:lncRNA from 1 species
GUGGGGGUACUAGGUUAGAGAGAGAAUGCCAGUGAGAAAAGAGAUCGGGCGUGAGAGGCCGGCGGCGGCGGGGUGGGUCACAGAGAGAGAGAGAGAAAGAGAGGGCGGCGUCGGGGCCGGCCACAGAGAGAGAGAGAGAGACAACAAGAGAGAGAGAGAUCGAACGAGAGAGGAGGGUGGGAGCUUGGGCGGGGUAGUAAUACAAAGAGGUGUCUAAACA